rnacentral:rRNA from 1 species
GUGAACGCUGGCGGUAGGCCUAACACAUGCAAGUCGAACGGCAGCACAGUAAGAGCUUGCUCUUACGGGUGGCGAGUGGCGGACGGGUGAGGAAUACAUCGGAAUCUACUUUUUCGUGGGGGAUAACGUAGGGAAACUUACGCUAAUACCGCAUACGACCUACGGGUGAAAGCAGGGGAUCUUCGGACCUUGCGCGAUUGAAUGAGCCGAUUUCGGAUUAGCUAGUUGGCGGGGUAAAGGCCCACCAAGGCGACGAUCCGUAGCUGGUCUGAGAGGAUGAGCAGCCACACUGGAACUGAGACACGGUCCAGACUCCUACGGGAGGCAGCAGUGGGGAAUAUUGGACAAUGGGCGCAAGCCUGAUCCAGCCAUACCGCGUGGGUGAAGAAGGCCUUCGGGUUGUAAAGCCCUUUUGUUGGGAAAGAAAAGCAGCAGGUUAAUACCCCGCUGUUCUGACGGUACCCAAAGAAUAAGCACCGGCUAACUUCGUG